rnacentral:rRNA from 1 species
CAAUUGGAGAGUUUGAUCCUGGCUCAGAGUGAACGCUGGCGGCGUGGAUUAGGCAUGCAAGUCGAACGAUACCGCAAGGUAUAGUGGCAAAAGGGCGAGUAACACGUGAGAAAUUUACCUUUGAGUGGGGAAUAACCUUGGGAAACCAUGGCUAAAACCGCAUAAGACCACGACAGGGCAUCCUGUUGUGAUCAAAAGGGGGGACCGCAAGGCCUCUUGCUUGAAGAUGAUCUCGCGUCCUAUCAGCUAGUUGGCGGGGUAAUGGCCCACCAAGGCUUUUGACGGGUAGCUGGACUGAGAGGUUGGUCAGCCGCAUUGGGACUGAGACACUGCCCAGACUCCUACGGGAGGCUGCAGUCGAGGAUCUUUUGCAAUGCCCGAAAGGGUGACAAUGCGACGCCGCGUGUGUGAUGAAGGUCUUCGGAUCGUAAAACACUGUCGGCCGGGAGGAAUC